rnacentral:rRNA from 1 species
GAUGAACGCUGGCGGCGUGCCUAAUACAUGCAAGUCGAGCGAACAGAUGAGGAGCUUGCUCCUCUGACGUUAGCGGCGGACGGGUGAGUAACACGUGGAUAACCUACCUAUAAGACUGGGAUAACUUCGGGAAACCGGAGCUAAUACCGGAUAAUAUAUUGAACCGCAUGGUUCAAUAGUGAAAGACGGUUUUGCUGUCACUUAUAGAUGGAUCCGCGCCGCAUUAGCUAGUUGGUAAGGUAACGGCUUACCAAGGCAACGAUGCGUAGCCGACCUGACAGGGUGAUCGGCCCCACUGGAACUGAGACACGGUCCAGACCCCUACGGGAGGCAGCAGUAGGGAAUCUUCCGCAAUGGGCGAAGGCCUGACGGAGCAACGCCGCUUGAGUGAUGAGGGUCUUCGGAUCGUAAAACUCUGUUAUUAGGGAAGACCAAAUGUGUAAUUAACUAUGCACGUCUUGACGGUACCUAAUCAGAAAGCCACGGCUAACUACGUG